rnacentral:rRNA from 2 species
CAGCAUAUCAAUAAGCGGAGGAAAAGAAACAACAGGGGAUUGCCCUUAGUAACGGCGAGUGAAGCGGCAACAGCUCAAAUUUGAAAUCUGGCUCCUUUGGGGUCCGAGUUGUAAUUUGCAGAGGGAGCUUUUGGCGUCGGUCGUGGUCUAAGUUCCUUGGAACAGGACGUCACAGAGGGUGAGAAUCCCGUACGUGGCCGCCGGCCUUCGCCUUGUAAAGCCCCUUCGACGAGUCGAGUUGUUUGGGAAUGCAGCUCUAAAUGGGAGGUAAAUUUCUUCUAAAGCUAAAUACCCGCCAGAGACCGAUAGCGCACAAGUAGAGUGAUCGAAAGAUGAAAAGCACUUUGGAAAGAGAGUGAAAAAGCACGUGAAAUUGUUGAAAGGGAAGCGCUUGCGGCCAGACGUGCCCGCGGUUGAUCAUCCAGGCUCCAGCCUGGUGCACUCCUCCGCGGGCAGGCCAGCAUCAGUUCGGGCGGUCGGAUAAAGGCCUCUAUCACGUACCACCCCUCGGGGUGGCCUUAUAGGGGAGGCGCAACACGGCCAGCCCGGACUGAGGUUCCGCGCAUCUGCUAGGAUGCUGGCGUAAUGGCAGCAAGCGGCCCGUCUUGAAACACGGACCAAGGAGUCUAACAUCUAUGCGAGUGUUUGGGUGUCAAGCCCGAGCGCGCAAUGAAAGUGAACGGAGGUGGGAACCCUUACCGGUGCACCAUCGACCGAUCCUGAUGUCUUCGGAUGGAUUUGAGUAAGAGCAUAGCUGUUGGGACCCGAAAGAUGGUGAACUAUGCCUGAAUAGGGUGAAGCCAGAGGAAACUCUGGUGGAGGCUCGCAGCGGUUCUGACGUGCAAAUCGAUCGUCAAAUUUGGGCAUAGGGGCGAAAGACUAAUCGUCA